UACAGAGGGGGCAAGCGUUGUUCGGAAUUACUGGGCGUAAAGGGCUCGUAGGCGGCCAACUAAGUCAUACGUGAAAUCCCUCGGCUUAACCGGGGAACUGCGUCUGAUACUGGAUGGCUUGAGUUCGGGAGAGGGAUGCGGAAUUCCAGGUGUAGCGGUGAAAUGCGUAGAUAUCUGGAGGAACACCGGUGGCGAAGGCGGCAUCCUGGACCGAUACUGACGCUGAGGAGCGAAAAGCCAGGGGAGCAAACGGG
rnacentral:rRNA from 1 species